AUGAUACUGGCAGGCUGCAGACAGACCGUGUGUCCAGAAGGAACUAUUUGCACUUUAGAGAAAGGACACCAAAGAAAGAAAAGAGCAGUAAUUCCCCAGGGCUGUGUAAGGGAGGGGAGCUGCCAAAUCUGGUGGAGGAGAGUAUUACAGUCACUAGGGCGGUGCGUCCUGCCCCGAGGCAGGAACAGGCAGUUUCUUGUUUAUUCAGCACACACAGAUUGAGUGCUUACUGUGAACCAGGUGCUCCGGCUCAGGUGCUAGGAGGUGAAAGGUAAGUAGGCUCUGCCCUCGCCUCUCACGUUUUGGGGAGGCUGAGGCACAACCUCGGAGGAGUCUGUGAUUCCAAGUUCACAAAGCCCGCAGGGUAACUCAAUAUUGCAAAAGGCUGCUGCAGGCCUGAGACCACAACUGCCACAGCCCUCUCCUCAUCUUUUUGACUUCCCUGGAAAACAAAUACAGGUGGGAUUCAGACUUUGGCCUGCUGAGCCUGUGGUUUUCCCGUUGAUGUCGCCCUGCAGCCAUGACAUGGACAGAGCUACUUGGGAUGCUGGGAUCGCAGCAUCCGUACUCACCUGCUCUCUGGAGCCCUCCUGCGCACAUGCACUGGAGCCAUGAGAUACCCCUGAGAAGUGGUGAGCUUGUGGCGUGAAGAGCUGGGUGACCUCCUCUUCCUUUUGGUGGCCUGAGCCAGAGAUGUCACUUCCUCACCUGCUCUUUUCUGCUUUCAUGUCUCAAGCUGCCUGGGGGCUUCUUUUUUUAGGUCUCUUACACUCGACUAAUCUGCGAAUGGGCCAAGAACCCACAAUGGGGAAAGGACAGACUCUUCAAUACGCAGGUUGGGAAAACAAAAUAUUCACCUGCAGAAGAAUUAAAUUGGAGCCUUGUCUCACAUCUUAUAUAAAAAUCAACUGAAAAUGGAUUAAGGACUUUAACAUAAGAUGUGAAACUAGAAGAAAACAUAGGGGAAAAGCUUCUUGACAUUGGUCUGGGCAAUGAUUUUUUUUUUUUUUAAUAUAUGAUCCCAAAGCUCAAGAAAAAAAAAUAGGUGAAUGGGGCCAGGCACGGUGGCUCAUGCCUGUAAUCCCAGCACUUUGGGAGACCAAGGCGGGCAGAUCACUUGAGGUCAGGAGUUCAAG
rnacentral:lncRNA from 1 species